rnacentral:rRNA from 1 species
AGCGAACGCUGGCGGCAGGCUUAACACAUGCAAGUCGAGCGGGCACCUUCGGGUGUCAGCGGCAGACGGGUGAGUAACACGUGGGAACGUACCCUUUGGUUCGGAACAACUCUGGGAAACUGGAGCUAAUACCGGAUACGCCCUUAUGGGGAAAGGUUUACCGCCGAAGGAUCGGCCCGCGUCUGAUUAGCUAGUUGGUGAGGUAACGGCUCACCAAGGCGACGAUCAGUAGCUGGUCUGAGAGGAUGAUCAGCCACACUGGGACUGAGACACGGCCCAGACUCCUACGGGAGGCAGCAGUGGGGAAGUAUUGGGACAAUGGGCGCAAGCCUGAUCCAGCCAUGCCGCGUGAGUGAUGAAGGCCUUAGGGUUGUAAAGC